AAUGAACGCUGGCGGCGCGCCUAAUACAUGCAAGUCGAGCGAGAAGACGUAGCAAUACGUUUGUAAAGCGGCGAACGGGUGAGGAAUACAUGGGUAACCUACCCUCGAGUGGGGAAUAGCUAGCCGAAAGGUUAGCUAAUACCGCGUACGCUCCUUGGACUUCGGUUCAGGGAGGAAAGCGAUACCGUGGGUAUCGCGCUCUUGGAUGGGCUCAUGUCCUAUCAGCUUGUUGGGAGGUAACGGCUCACCAAGGCUUCGACGGGUAGCUGGUCUGAGAGGACAAUCAGCCACACUGGCACUGCGACACGGGCCGAGACUCCUACGGGAGGCAGCAGUAAGGAAUAUUGCGCAAUGGGCGAAAGCCUGACGCAGCGACGCCGCGUGGGGGAGUGAAGGU
rnacentral:rRNA from 1 species